UUUUCACAAUUAGAUCGUGCUAAUUUAAAAGUUGUACACCCGACCAGCCGACUAUACACACGAAGUUGCAAAGGAAGUACUACCGUGCGCACAAUUCUAUGACCUAACGGAACGGAACGAAUUUAAGCAACUCCUGGUGCGUACAACUGCCGGUUCCGGUGUUCUAAAAAAGUAACGUUUCUUCUAUCAAAAAUAUAUUCUUGGCGGCAAACAUCUCGUGCUCAAAAUAUCAAACGAUGCUCUGGCUCCAUGGGGCACGAUUAUAAACAGCUACAUUCGCAUUUAUAUCUCUGUCUGAUUCUUGCCUCGGCACAUAACAUAACGAUAAACGAAUUAUAAAAAUAAACCACUUCGAGUUAGUGCUACAACGUCUGGCACGCUGCUGCGCCCGUUAAAUUAACCUGACGAUUUUCUCCUUGAAUCACAUCAAUUUACUUCCACCGCGAAGCCGCGUUUGCACAUUCAUCCUGAUUCUGUAAUAAUAGAGAAAGCAGAAACAGAUUACGUGUGACGGCUAACAGCUGAUAAUUCUAUUACCGACCGUUUUAUAAAUGAGACCUCCGCGCGAUACGACGACGCGUUUGCCGUUGCGUUAACACCGCAGAUGAUGUUCGAUAUUUUGAAGAAUCAUCUGAUCACGUAUACUUUCCUGUUCUUAUCUUCCCGCCGUAUUUAUUCGUUUGACGAGUGACUUGAAGUAACAAUGCAGUCUCGUUACUGUCGUUGAAAACGCUCCACGCAUAGUAACGCAAAAUCUUGACCCUUGACCUCCCUCAAAUGUGGACAAGAUCCUUAGACUCCUCAAGACUCCUCUCACCGUCACAUUGGCGCGAUUAAUUCUCCGAUAUAAAAUACAAAUGGGUUUUCCUUGAAUGUGGGAGACGUCAUCAUAUCGAUGUGUCUGUUUCAUUAUCGAUAAACCCAAAACGAUCGCCGGCCGGUUUUACACGGAACUACUAAGGAAUCAGGUCGACGGCGACGUAGGAAUCCAUGAGUAUACGAGAAAGCGAAUGAUGAUGUCGCCAGACGAUGACGUCGUACUCGAUAAGUUGUACUCGAACGGAGAACCGGCCGGGUGGGGCCUGUUCGUUGAGUCGCUUAUACGACUGGCACAUUCAGUAUGAAAGUGGCUGUAGAACGGUGCGCACGUUGAUCGCAGGCCUUGAAGAGAGACUCUGGGGACCCGUCUGACCUCUGUCUCUCUCUCUCUCUCUCUCUCUCUUUCUCUUUCUUUCUUUGUCUCUCUGACACGCGCACCCACAAUGUUCGUCGAAUGACCACGGUGUUUGAAAAUGUGGUGAAAAGUUGACAAGUGCGCGACAAAUACCGACACGAUGUUGUACCACGCGCGGUCCUGUGCUCUGACGUUCGUCAUUGUUCUGCUACUCGCACUGUGCAGAGUGUCGAGCGGCGCGAAGCCGAUCAUCUGGCCGAGUGUGAAGGAGCUUGUGAUAAACGAAGAUGAACUUUUAGAAAUCACAUGCACCAGCGACACCCCGAUCCAGUUUACCUAUCCAUUCACCAAAGAAACGGUAAACACUUCGGAUGCGAGAACGGCCGAGACUGAAGCGGACGGCGUUUACAAGUACAUCUUCCAACGGCCGAAGACCGUUUACGGAGACACAGGCUGGUACAGUUGCGCCAACGAGAAUGUCGAGAUCACUCCGUAUAACUAUGACGAUCCCGAGGUGAACUGGCUAUACGUUUACGUGAGAUCCGAUAAAUUCUUCUUCGUCGAGGACGCUGAUAUCUCCCCCAUGGUGGAUGCGUUCGGCGGCGAUGACGCCGUGAUACCGUGCAGGCCUACAUCGCCGGACAUAGCGGUGAACAUCGAGAGCGAAAUUGGUGACGAAAUAAAGAACAGGUCGUCGUAUGAUCCGAAAAUCGGUCUCACCGUUAAGAACGUCACUGUGAAUCACAGCGGCUACUUUACCUGCACGAUGAAGCUGAACGACGAAGAGCAGGAUAAAACUUACACGUUGACCGUGGAACAGAACCACCCUGUGCCCGAGCCGAUCAUCCACGAGGAGAAUUUGCGUCACAUUAUUCGCGGCGAGGACCUCCGUGUCAAUUGUACCGUGGAGGUACAAAGCUCCGUCAAGUACUUGUUCAAUUGGACCAAAAUUCCGCCAAACAACAGCAGCAGAAUGAGCACUAGGUUGUUUAACACUAAGAUCAGCGAUUCCCUCAACAGCGUCACAUCUGAAAUGACGAUUCUUAACAUAACGGACGAGGACGCGGGGAUGUAUUCGUGCUUCAUCACGACGCUGCGCGGGUCUAAGAAUACGUCGAAGCGUAUUGAAUUACAUGAUCCUCAAGUAAGAUAUGUCAAUAUCACAACUCAACACGGUAAUACCUCCUAUCAGGCAGAGAAAGGCGGCGAUAUACAAUGGGUUGUUUACGUUUACGGCUAUCCCAAGCCAGUGAUACAAUGGUUUAAUCCGAGAGGCGACGAAAUUAUAAAUUACAAUAAAUACUCUGUAAUAAUAGAUUCGACGUCUACCGUUUUGAGAAUCAAAAGAUUGCAAGUUGCGGACACAGGAAUUUACACAGUCGUGGCUAAGAACAACUACACGAUGAAACAGAUCAACUUCACGCUGGAAGUCAUGGCUAAACCGCUUACCGAGUUGGUGAAUAUAGAUACUUACUAUAAACCCAAUGAAACCGUGAAUUUUGUUUGCGCAAUGCUGUCCUAUCCACGACCGGACAUCUCGUGGACUUUCCUUAAAUGUCCCAAUUAUCCGUCGCAUACAAAUUCAACGAUCGUACGACCGACGAAAGUGGUGGAAAGUGCACCGACCAAGAUCAACGUCGUCUCGACGGCCGAAAUAUUGAUUGAGAUGUCGGGAGUAUUAACGUGCGAGGCCUGUAACAUUCGCGGCUGCGACAACUCAACUGUGAUCAUCUUCGUGUCCGAUGGAGACGGAGCUUUCAGUAUCAUCAAGCCAAAACAGAAGGUGGCGAAAGGCGAUAGCGUGGAGUUGACAUGUGCCGCUUCCGUGUACAAUUAUACAAGUGAAUUAACAUGGACAAACGAAAACGACGAACUCAUCGAAGAAAUAGGGAGGGUCGAAAUUUUUCAUCGUGAAACUCAGUUCACUUAUCAAUCAAUCUUGAGGAUCAAUAACGUCCAGGAAGAAGACGCUCGGCAUUACACCUGCAACGGACAAUUCAAAUCGGAGGAUGAUCAUAUUCCUGACUCUACAAUUUACACGUUAAUCGUUAAUGAGGCGAUAAAACCAUUCUUCACACAAACCAACAUGAACGAGACUAAAGUGAAGAACAUCGACGAAGAUAAGGACGGUCACGAGAUGACAGUUCUGAGGUGUAUUGUGGGCGGAUUGCCGACGCCAAAAGUAACCUGGUACAAAGACAACAUACUGCUGAAGGAAAACGGACAGUACAAUUUCACAGACAACUAUCAGGAGCUCAACAUCAGAUACAUGUCGCAAUCGGACAGUGGGACUUACUCGUGCCGCGCCAGCAAUCGAUUAGGCAUGAAGGAAACUUUCCAACAAAUUAACGUGAAGAACAGGAAGUGGAAUAAACACGACAUAAUAUUGACCACUUCGAUAGCAUUGCUGGCUUUCUUCUUGGUGAUUUUAGCGAUCUUCUUCAUAAUAAAAGUCCGUCGGGAGAAGAAAAUGAAGAAGGAGUUGAUGGAAGCCGGUCUUAUGCACUUCGAGGAAGGCGCCUUGGAGUGUUUGAAUCCAGACUUGACGGUCGACGAUCAAGCGGAAUUACUUCCUUACGAUAAGAAAUGGGAAUUUCCGAGAGAACGAUUAAAGCUCGGCAAGCAAUUGGGUAGCGGUGCGUUCGGGGUGGUGAUGAAGGCGGAAGCGCAAGGAAUAUGCCAGAGCGAGACCGUCACCACCGUUGCGGUGAAGAUGGUUCGGCGAACCACUGAUCCGACUUACGUUCGCGCGCUCGCCAGCGAACUGAAGAUCAUGGUACACCUUGGCAAGCAUCUCAACGUCGUCAAUCUUCUCGGUGCAUGCACGAAGAACAUCUCCAAACGCGAGCUGCUGGUGAUCGUCGAAUAUUGUCGCUUCGGCAACUUGCAUAACUACCUCUUGAAGCACAGGGCGGAUUUUAUCAAUCAGAUUGAUCCCAACACUGGAAAACUCGACAACUCCAUCGGUCUGGAUGUGUUGACGAGGACUGCCAGUGUCAGCAGUAACAACAGGAUAAAAUAUGCGGCAUUAUCCUUUUCUCGCAGUCUUAGUGCGAAUUCAGGCAUCGACACGGUGCAUUAUUGUCCGGCAACUAGCUCGGACUCUCAGGAGAUCUGCUUGUCGCCAAGCGGCGGCUGCAUUCUCAGCAAUAAUUCGAUUCAACCUGGCUGGAGGUCGAAUUAUCGCGGUGACUACAAGGACCACAACCUCAAGCCGAUUUGCACUCAGGAUCUAUUGUCGUGGGCGUUCCAAGUUGCGCGCGGAAUGGAAUAUCUCAGCCAAAGAAAGGUGUUGCACGGUGAUCUGGCCGCGAGGAAUAUCUUGCUCUCCGAGGACAACAUAGUGAAAAUUUGUGACUUCGGUCUGGCGAAGAACAUGUACAAAGAUGGCAAUUACAAAAAGAAGGGAGACGGUCCGUUGCCAAUAAAGUGGAUGGCGAUUGAGUCGAUCAGAGAUCGAAUCUUUUCCACGCAAUCAGAUAUAUGGUCCUACGGCAUAGUGCUUUGGGAGUUCUUCACUUUGGCCGAGACGCCGUAUCCUGGCAUGGAAGCCGAGAAACAGUAUCAAAAGCUGAUUGAGGGCUACAGAAUGGAGCAGCCGGAGUACGCCAUGCGCGAAAUCUAUGACAUAAUGCUGCAAUGCUGGAAGGCGAAGCCCACUCUGCGACCAAGUUUCACAGAUCUCGUUCAGAGCAUCGGCGACUUACUGGACGAAAGCGUGAAAUCGCAUUAUAUCAGUCUGAACACACCUUACAUGGACAUGAACACGAUGAUCCUGGAGGGCGGCAAAAACGACUACCUGACGAUGAUGUCCGCGCCGGACCACACUGCCCUGUCAUCACCAACGCACUACGUAAACUCGCCUUUCUUGGAGAGCGGCACUGAUCCUGCGUAUUUACGCAUGAGUCCUGGCUAUCAGACGGACGAGUCCGGCAUAUUUAGCCCCAGACCGCAGCAGGAUCAUUCUCACUUCCAGUUCCCGUCGCCGGCGUCGGACUCCGAGGACGCCGUCGAGCAGUCGCCCAUGCUCAAGCAGGAAGACGAUCCGUACCUGAAGCCCAUCAAUGUUCAAGAACGGAGAGCUGAGUUCGCGCGGCAGAGGCAAACGAUGAAGGAUCAAAUGACCAACCGAAUGGACGACCGAGACUCUGGUUACUGCAAUGCGCCACGAAAUCUACAUUUGAUCGACUUGAACGACGUGGACGAGAGUGACUCGCCCAAAGAGGCGGAGCAAGCCGACAAGGCGGACUCGCGGAAGAUGGACUAUCCGCCGUCCAUCAUUAGCACGCAGGACAAUUAUGUGAAUAUGCCGAAGCAGAAGAGCGACCUGCGCAACGGCAUGCCGGAGAGCUUCAGCAAUCCCAGCUACGUGAUAAUGAGUAACCGCGAGAUGGAUCAGCGUGCUUAGUCCGCGAAACUCGGUGUGUGUGUGUGUGUGUAUGUGUGUGUUUGUGCGCACAUACAGUCUGGUCCUUUCUCAAGUGCAGGAUUCGACGUGAGAUCGAGAGUCCUGUUCGUAAUGUCGAGCUGGAGUGACUUUCCCUUCCGAUGGUGCGAGUCGUAACCGGUAUUGUACAUUAAACUCCUCAUCUAAUAUAUACGCUCCUCGAACAAUGUGCCAUGGCGAUUGACAACGGAUCAGGAAUGAAAUCGAUACGAUUGUAACCAUUGAGUCUUAGGAAUCGACUGGUACGUAUCCAGGUGUUGGUGUGAUACACUUGAAAAAUGCAUCACGAGAAAUCCAAAGGUUUAUCGUUGUUAGAAAUCUUUCGUUAGAUUGGAAAAAAUGAUUAAUCGCGCUGUACUUGUGUGCGGAUGAUUUAUUCGUCUCAUUUAUCAUCGCGAAAUAUAUGGUUAAAGUAACCGAUAGAAUAUCGUGCCACUUUAUCAUUUGUUAGAAUCGAGGAUUCCGAAUCUAAAUACUUAAUUAGCUUUUAAUGUAAUCACGAUCAGAAUAUCACGAUCUAUAAUAUUAUUAUAGUAUGUUAUAUAUUGAGAUGUUCACUCACACACGCAAAGUACAACGAUAUAUUAUAUUUAAGCGAGAUAAAAUAUCAUUUAAUGAGAAAAUACGUUAUCAAACUUUUUCCAUCGGUGACAUUUUUUGCUCUUAUUAUUAUCUAUUUAAAACGCUAUUUUUUUUAUCAU
rnacentral:misc_RNA from 1 species